AGUCGAGCGGACCGACGGGAGCUUGCUCCCUUAGGUCAGCGGCGGACGGGUGAGUAACACGUGGGUAACCUGCCUGUAAGACUGGGAUAACUCCGGGAAACCGGGGCUAAUACCGGAUGCUUGAUUGAACCGCAUGGUUCAAUCAUAAAAGGCGGCUUCGGCUGCCGUUUACAGAUGGACCCGCGGCGCAUUAGCUAGUUGGUGAGGUAACGGCUCACCAAGGCGACGAUGCGUAGCCGACCUGAGAGGGUGAUCGGCCACACUGGGACUGAGACACGGCCCAGACUCCUACGGGAGGCAGCAGUAGGGAAUCUUCCGCAAUGGACGAAAGUCUGACGGAGCAACGCCGCGUGAGUGAUGAAGGUUUUCGGAUCGUAAAGCUCUGUUGUUAGGGAAGAACAAGUACCGUUCGAAUAGGGCGGUACCUUGACGGUACCUAACCAGAAAGCCACGGCUAACUACGUGCCAGCAGCCGCGGUAAUACGUAGGUGGCAAGCGUUGUCCGGAAUUAUUGGGCGUAAAGCGCGCGCAGGCGGUUUCUUAAGUCUGAUGUGAAAGCCCCCGGCUCAACCGGGGAGGGUCAUUGGAAACUGGGGAACUUGAGUGCAGAAGAGGAGAGUGGAAUUCCACGUGUAGCGGUGAAAUGCGUAGAGAUGUGGAGGAACACCAGUGGCGAAGGCGACUCUCUGGUCUGUAACUGACGCUGAGGCGCGAAAGCGUGGGGAGCGAACAGGAUUAGAUACCCUGGUAGUCCACGCCGUAAACGAUGAGUGCU
rnacentral:rRNA from 1 species